rnacentral:rRNA from 1 species
UACAGAGGUCUCAAGCGUUGUCCGGAUUUAUUGGGCGUAAAGGGCUCGUAGGCGGCGCGGUAAGUCGGGUGUGAAAUCUCGGGCUUAACUCCGAAACUGCAUUCGAUACUGCCGUGCUUGAGGACUGGAGAGGAGACUGGAAUUUACGGUGUAGCGGUGAAAUGCGUAGAUAUCGUAAGGAAGACCAGUGGCGAAGGCGGGUCUCUGGACAGUUCCUGACGCUGAGGCACGAAGGCCAGGGAGCAAACGGG